rnacentral:lncRNA from 10 species
AUCACACAACAGGUUCAACCAAGUAAAAUCUUACCCAAACCAGUGACAGCAACUCUACCCACCAGUAGCAAUUCCCCUAUUAUGGUGGUUAGCAGUAAUGGUGCAAUUAUGACAACUAAACUGGUAACCACUCCUACUGGCACACAAGCAACCUAUACCCGGCCAACAGUGAGCCCAUCCAUUGGUCGGAUGGCUGCAACCCCUGGAGCUGCAACCUAUGUGAAAACUACGAGUGGUAGCAUCAUUACAGUAGUACCCAAAUCAUUAGCUACCUUGGGGGGCAAGAUAAUUAGCAGUAAUAUAGUUUCUGGUAGGUAUAUCUGAAAUAUGUUAAAGGUAUAGGUGGCCUUCAUUGAGAGGAAAAAAAAAACUUACUUCAUUGAAGGAUUAUAUUUGAUCUCAAUUUUUUGCUUAGAAAUCUAAAGCUUUGUUUUAGUCCUUAUGUUUCAUGAUUAAAUAAAGUUUUUAGUUUUAAUAUUCAAUAUUCACAUAUAAAGCUUUUGAUAGUUUUAAAAUGGAAAGAACCUUUAGUUGCUUUUAGUCAGAGUGGAAAGAUUAUAGUUUAAAUUUGCAUAGAGAUUUUUCAUUUGCAAAGUAUCCUUCUAUUUGUCAACCUAUUCAGACCCCAUAACAACUCUGAGGUGGUUGCUAUUGUGCUGAAUUUACAAAUGAAGAUAGAUUUGGCUUUAGAGAGAUCAAAUUGACCUGUCCAAGACCAAUUAGAGUUAGAAAGUGGAAGAACUCUUAUUUGUUCUGAAUAUGUUUUAGGGAACAUAUCUCAUAAUUUCAAUUACUGAUGUCACUUUAGUUUAUUAAAAAUAAAAAUAUUUGAAUACUUUA